rnacentral:rRNA from 1 species
AUGCCUAGGAAUCUGCCUGGUAGUGGGGGAUAACGUCCGGAAACGGACGCUAAUACCGCAUACGUCCUACGGGAGAAAGCAGGGGACCUUCGGGCCUUGCGCUAUCAGAUGAGCCUAGGUCGGAUUAGCUAGUUGGUGAGGUAAUGGCUCACCAAGGCGACGAUCCGUAACUGGUCUGAGAGGAUGAUCAGUCACACUGGAACUGAGACACGGUCCAGACUCCUACGGGAGGCAGCAGUGGGGAAUAUUGGACAAUGGGCGAAAGCCUGAUCCAGCCAUGCCGCGUGUGUGAAGAAGGUCUUCGGAUUGUAAAGCACUUUAAGUUGGGAGGAAGGGCAGUUGCCUAAUACGUAACUGUUUUGACGUUACCGACAGAAUAAGCACCGGCUAACUCUGUGCCAGCAGCCGCGGUAAUACAGAGGGUGCAAGCGUUAAUCGGAAUUACUGGGCGUAAAGCGCGCGUAGGUGGUUUGUUAAGUUGGAUGUGAAAUCCCCGGGCUCAACCUGGGAACUGCAUUCAAAACUGACUGACUAGAGUAUGGUAGAGGGUGGUGGAAUUUCCUGUGUAGCGGUGAAAUGCGUAGAUAUAGGAAGGAACACCAGUGGCGAAGGCGACCACCUGGACUAAUACUGACACUGAGGUGCGAAAGCGUGGGGAGCAAACAGGAUUAGAUACCCUGGUAGUCCACGCCGUAAACGAUGUCAACUAGCCGUUGGAAGCCUUGAG